GGUCUGUUCCCUUUCUUUUUCUCAUCAGCAUAUAGAGCAAAGAAAUACCUAACUUCUUCAUCGGUCCAUUUCUAAAUAACAAGUCUCAUCAAUAGACAAACAAGCUAAACUAGCAGAAAAAACAAUUACAAAAAAUCUAAGAAACUAGAACUGCCUAAAAUACUUACGUCAUCAGCCAUUCUUCUUGUCUUAUCUUGUUGUGAUUUAUGUCCAAACCUGAAAAGAUAAUACAGACCUAAGUGACCAAACUAUAAACAAUAAAUUUGACUUAAACAAAACGUCACAGACCAAAAAGAACUCAAACCCAUGUCUGAAAACAUUCACAGGAACUCAAACCCAUAAAACACAUGUCUGAUAAUCAGAUUAAAAACAGAGAUUUGAUAAUCAAAAUCUUGAAUCUAAAAGUAACCCAUAUCAAGAAUCAAAAAACCCAACAUCCAACUUAAUUAAUCUAAAGGUUCCAUUAUUCUAACACAAAACGCUAAGAGAGAAAGAGAGAGAGAGAGAGAGAGAGAGAGAGAGAGAGAGAGAGAGAGAGAGAGAGAGAGAGAGAGAGAGGGGACUGACCUUUAAGAGAGCUAAGGCGUGAGAGAUGGUGGAGAGAAGCGUGAGAGAUGGUGGAGAGAGAUCGUGAGAGAUGGUGAAGAGAGGUGUGAGAGAUGGAGAUGAGAGAUCGUGAGAGAUGGUGAAGAGAGGUGUGAGAGAGGCGUGAGAGAUGGUGAAGGGAGAGAGAGAGAGCCGAGGCCUGAGAGAUCGUGAGAGAUGGUGAGAGAGAGAGAGAGAGAGAGAGAGAGAGAGAGAGAGAGAGAGAGAGAGAGAAGAGAGGCGAGAGAGAUUUUAGGAUUUAGGUUUAAUGGUAUUGUUUUGUAAUUUUGAAGAUAGAUUGAGGGUAUUUUUGUAUUUUGAGUUUUUUUUUUUUUCUGAUCGCAGGUUUUGGUCGCAAACGCUGAAUUUCUCGGCGAUCAAAAUUUUUAAUCGCGGGUCGCUAGCGUCUGGUCGCUGCGAUCAGUCGCUGAACGUGCGACCGGUAAACGAACAACGUUUAGUCGCUCAGGUUGGUCGCUGACGCUAGCGACCUCCAAACGAACAGGGCCAAUAUAUUACAUAGUCGUGAUGGAUAUUAUUACCAUUUACAACAUAAGCCAAGCAUAAAAGAUAUAGCAAUGAUAGUAAUCAAAGUAUAAUUUAAAAGAAAAAAGUAUAAUAAAUCUCCCUAAUUCUAAUAUGAAUUAACUUUUAGACAACCAUUCGUUAUUAUGAAUCUAAAAC
rnacentral:lncRNA from 1 species